UACAGAGGUCCCAAGCGUUGUUCGGAUUCAUUGGGCGUAAAGGGUGCGUAGGCUGCGUCAUAAGUCGGAUGUGAAAUCCCGGGGCUCAACCCUGGAACUGCAUUCGAUACUGUGGUGCUAGAGGACUCUAGAGGAAAUUGGAAUUCACGGUGUAGCAGUGAAAUGCGUAGAUAUCGUGAGGAAGACCAGUGGCGAAGGCGGAUUUCUGGAGAGUUCCUGACGCUGAGGCACGAAGUCCACGGGAGCAAACGGG
rnacentral:rRNA from 1 species